AUUGAACGCUGGCGGCGUGCUUAACACAUGCAAGUCGUGCGGUAACAGGCGUAGCAAUACGUGCUGACGAGCGGCGAACGGGUGCGUAAUACAUGGGAAUCUGCCCUUUAGUGGGGAAUAACCCGGCGAAAGCCGGGCUAAUGCCGCAUAAGAUCUUCGGAUGAAAGCGGGGGAGUCGUAAGACCUCGCGCUGAUGGAUGAGCCACUGUCGGAUUAGUCAGUUGGUGAGGUAACGGCGUCACCAAGGACGACGAUCCGUAGCUGGUCUGAGAGGACGGCCGAGCCACACUGGGACGUGAGACACGGCCC
rnacentral:rRNA from 1 species